GGUCUCAGAGACCACAGGAGCUGAAGAGUCUUUACCGGUGAGCCCUGGAGUCCCAGGAACUUGGUUUCCUAAAAUGGAAAGGAAGUUUGGGCGAGAGUUUGGC
rnacentral:lncRNA from 1 species